rnacentral:rRNA from 1 species
UUGAACGCUGGCGGCAGGCCUAACACAUGCAAGUCGAACGGUAACAGGAAGCAGCUUGCUGUUUCGCUGACGAGUGGCGGACGGGUGAGUAAUGUCUGGGAAACUGCCUGAUGGAGGGGGAUAACUACUGGAAACGGUAGCUAAUACCGCAUAACGUCGCAAGACCAAAGAGGGGGACCUUCGGGCCUCUUGCCAUCGGAUGUGCCCAGAUGGGAUUAGCUAGUAGGUGGGGUAACGGCUCACCUAGGCGACGAUCCCUAGCUGGUCUGAGAGGAUGACCAGCCACACUGGAACUGAGACACGGUCCAGACUCCUACGGGAGGCAGCAGUGGGGAAUAUUGCACAAUGGGCGCAAGCCUGAUGCAGCCAUGCCGCGUGCAUGAAGAAGGCCUUCGGGUUGUAAAGUACUUUCAGCGGGGAGGAAGGGAGUAAAGUUAAUACCUUUGCUCAUUGACGUUACCCGCAGAAGAAGCACCGGCUAACUCCGUGCCAGCAGCCGCGGUAAUACGGAGGGUGCAAGCGUUAAUCGGAAUUACUGGGCGUAAAGCGCACGCAGGCGGUUUGUUAAGUCAGAUGUGAAAUCCCCGGGCUCAACCUGGGAACUGCAUCUGAUACUGGAAAGCUUGAGUCUCGUAGAGGGGGGUAGAAUUCCAGGUGUAGCGGAGAAAUGCGUAGAGAUGUGGAGGAAUACCGGUGGCGAAGGCGGCCCCCUGGACGAAGACUGACGCUCAGGUGCGAAAGCGUGGGGAGCAAACAGGAUUAGAUACCCUGGUAGUCCACGCCGUAAACGAUGUCGACUUGGAGGUUGUGCCCUUGAGGCGUGGCUUCCGGAGCUAACGCGUUAAGUCGACCGCCUGGGGAGUACGGCCGCAAGGUUAAAACUCAAAUGAAUUGACGGGGGCCCGCACAAGCGGUGGAGCAUGUGGUUUAAUUCGAUGCAACGCGAAGAACCUUACCUGGUCUUGACAUCCACGGAAGUUUUCAGAGAUGAGAAUGUGCCUUCGGGAACCGUGAGACAGGUGCUGCAUGGCUGUCGUCAGCUCGUGUUGUGAAAUGUUGGGUUAAGUCCCGCAACGAGCGCAACCCUUAUCCUUUGUUGCCAGCGGUCCGGCCGGGAACUCAAAGGAGACUGCCAGUGAUAAACUGGAGGAAGGUGAGGAUGACGUCAAGUCAUCAUGGCCCUUACGACCAGGGCUACACACGUGCUACAAUGGCGCAUACAAAGAGAAGCGACCUCGCGAGAGCAAGCGGACCUCAUAAAGUGCGUCGUAGUCCGGAUUGGAGUCUGCAACUCGACUCCAUGAAGUCGGAAUCGCUAGUAAUCGUGGAUCAGAAUGCCACGGUGAAUACGUUCCCGGGCCUUGUACACACCGCCCGUCACACCAUGGGAGUGGGUUGCAAAAGAAGUAGGUAGCUUAACCUUCGGGAGGGCGCUUACCACUUUGUGAUUCAUGACUGGGGUG